rnacentral:rRNA from 1 species
AAUCCAUAGGUUAAUGAGGCGAACCGGGGGAACUGAAACAUCUAAGUACCCCGAGGAAAAGAAAUCAACCGAGAUUCCCCCAGUAGCGGCGAGCGAACGGGGAGGAGCCCAGAGCCUGAAUCAGCAUGUGUGUUAGUGGAAGCGUCUGGAAAGGCGCGCGAUACAGGGUGACAGCCCCGUACACAAAAGCGCAUGUGCUGUGAGCUCGAUGAGUAGGGCGGGACACGUGGUAUCCUGUCUGAAUAUGGGGGGACCAUCCUCCAAGGCUAAAUACUCCUGACUGACCGAUAGUGAACCAGUACCGUGAGGGAAAGGCGAAAAGAACCCCGGCGAGGGGAGUGAAAAAGAACCUGAAACCGUGUACGUACAAGCAGUGGGAGCACCCUUUGGGGUGUGACUGCGUACCUUUUGUAUAAUGGGUCAGCGACUUAUAUUCUGUAGCAAGGUUAACCGUAUAGGGGAGCCGGAGGGAAACCGAGUCUUAAUUGGGCGUUAAGUUGCAGGGUAUAGACCCGAAACCCGGUGAUCUAGCCAUGGGCAGGUUGAAGG